rnacentral:tRNA from 12 species
GUCGGGAUAGCUCAGCUGGUAGAGCAGAGACUG